rnacentral:rRNA from 1 species
UAUGCCCAGGACGCUCACGGGCUUUGACUUAGUAGCGUCUGUCUAUGCGUGUGCCAGUCUCUGUCGUGCCGACGCUGCUGUCCGCGCGGCGUAGGUGCAGGCGUGAGCCCGUCCUGCGCCACAUGCUGCAACGGAACGCAGCCCGGACUGCGCGCGAUCGCGCAUACGCAAAGCAGUCUAGAUGGCAGGCUGCCGGCCAGCCACGUGAAGUGCCAGAGGCAUGGAGCACUUUCCUUGUUUCUGAGGGCUUUCCGUGAAUCUGGCUGUAGCUUGCCCAGCGCUACAUAAUGAUUCUCUCUUCACGUGCGGCAGGGGCCUGCGAUGCUUGCGCUCGUCACGGUUGCUGGCUCUAGCUUCUGUAGCUUGAACGUGUUCACGCGGCUCCUUACUGCUACUUAGAGAGGCAAGCAAGUAAGCUCAAAGCGUCCAAAUGGGGACCUGCCAAAGUGCAUGAGAACUU